rnacentral:lncRNA from 1 species
ACAGAUGAGGAGAAGAAAGAAGCUUUCACUCCAGGCAGGAGGAACAGUGUGAGGGUGAAUACAGAGUAUGCCCUGAGCAAGAAAGGGUAACAAACCAGCCAACAAAUGGGAGGUUUUUCCUGAGUGCAUGAUGAGAAAGGCAGGUGCUACUGGAAAUCACUGGGUUACUGGGACUAAGAACAUUGGUGAGCAUGUUGGGUGGGUGAUUUUUCACAAAUCCGGAUGGGAGGAAAGGAAGAAUCUAAAGGAACAGCAAGGACUCACAAGAACAGAUGUCCAAUGAGGCUAAAGAAUGGGUUACAAAAAGAAAAAGAAAGCAGAAAAAGGAUUUCAAAAUUCAGGAUUUCAAAGAUUGAGUCAUUUUAUAUGUGACAAGGCUCCAGAACUGCCAGGAAAGCUGCAGAACAGAGGUCUGAAAACAUAAGAGAAGCCAGGAAAAUGCAAGUCCUUCCUCCUGACCCUAGAAAAUCUCUGCUGCCAAGGCUGGGACUCUGCUGCCAACUUCAGGCCUGGGAAAACCAAGACUCCAGGAGCUCUACCUCUAGGAUUCUUCCAAACAUCUCACCAUGUCCUCUGAUACCUCUGUAGUCAUCUGCCACAACCUACUUCUGAAUAAAUCCUACAUUCCACCU